rnacentral:piRNA from 1 species
UCUAUAUUUAUAUAUACAGGGACAAGAUGG